rnacentral:rRNA from 1 species
UACGGAGGGGGCAAGCGUUGUCCGGAAUUAUUGGGCGUAAAGAGCGUGUAGGCGGCCAGGUAGGUCCGGUGUGAAAACUCGAGGCUUAACCUCGAGAUGUCAUCGGAAACCAUCUGGCUAGAGUCCGGAAGAGGAAAGUGGAAUUCCUGGUGUAGCGGUGAAAUGCGCAGAUAUCAGGAAGAACACCAAUGGCGAAAGCAGCUUUCUGGGACGGUACUGACGCUGAGACGCGAAAGCGUGGGGAGCGAACAGG